CAGAAUAUGAAAACUAGACCAAAACAACCAUACAUGUGCAACUUUCAUUUCGUUAUUUAGAAAAGCUCUGAGCAGAUGAAGUUCCAGAUCAGCAGAACCAGAACAGUGGAUUGGUUCUGGUGGUGGACCAUGCAGAGCACAAGAAGUACGGCAGCAGGAAGACUGUGGGCCUCAGAGGUCAGGUGGGGGUCCGCUCUGACCCCGAGGUGGGGGCCUGAGGAGGAGGGGUGGAUGUCGGGGCCGCAGAAGGUGGUGCUGGUGACGCAAACCCAAGGCCUUGGAGCGCGACGUCACAGAGAUGGACCCUGCACUCCGGUUAAUGCUGCAGGAGAAGGAGAGGGCUGUGAGGACGCUGCAGGAGACUGUGGAGGUAUACUCACAGGCAUGGCACACACACGCUGCUUGGAGCAGCACACACACUCACACACACGUACACACACACACACAAGCACACACACACACACACACACACACACACACACACACACAUCCACACACACACUUCCGGCUCACACACACAUCCAGCACAGAGGCCCCACUACUUCCUGUCUGGGACCGGAAGUACGAGCGGUCAAAAGUGAAAGUGAAAGUAUGGUUGUUGUUGGGUUGUUGUAUAUUGGAGAUUAUACAACGGGGGGCCUGAAUCCAGCGAUCUGAUUGGUUCCUAACUGUUGUAUAAUGAGCGUAUACAUAACUGCUAUGACGCCCAAUCAUUUUGUGAAAGUAUCAGUCCGCGCCUUGAAGUGGAAAGUGUCAAAGAAUACAACCGUAUCUUUACUAGUGUGUGUGUGUGAAGUCAUUUUGCCAUAAUUUUAACAGUUGUAUAAAACCAAUAGCACAGUUCACUGAAGUCUAAAAUCGGCGAGUGAAC